UAAACGAUUGAAUAUUUGCUCAACAAAUAUAGUCAGUACUUGGCAGUGAAAUAAAUUGAAUUGAAUUGAAUUGAACAUUUUGUGAUUUAAGUUUGGGUUUGUCGAGGCCUGAAAAUCGAAGCAUUAAGUAUAAAACGAAGAAAAUGUGACUGAAACGAUUUUUCAAAUCUGCCAGUUCUCUGCGCCGUGGAAAAAUAUCCAAUUUCAAUGGUUUUGAGAUUUUUGAUUGAACCAUUAUAUUCAAUGUUGCCAUUGUUGAUACCCGAUACAAAAAUAUAAAAUUUGAAAUGCUCAUUUUUCAGCAUUGCUCGCUUUAGAAUUGCUCCUCCGAUUUCCAAUAAUGGAGCACGUCAUCGCGUCACACUACUACUUUAAAAUCCAUCAUUAUCAACACAAAAGAGCACAAUCGACUAGGAAAGUUUCAAAAAAUGGAUUUUACUUUUCCGUACACAACGUGUCAAGGAAAAGUAUAGGAAUUGGUGCCGAAAACUUUUUUUCGCAAAAUUAGCUUAGAUCAUCAUAAAAACUCAUGAAACGCGUAGAAAACCACUUUUUGUGACACUUUUCCGUUCGUGUGCCGUCGUUGUCAUUGUCGUAGCUGUUUGUUAACACGAUAACUCAAAAAAUAAUUGAGAUAAUCCAAAUCUGAAAGUCCCAAAAGUGUUGUAUCCAAUAAACUUAGUUUAAGUUCGAAGAUGAGCUAUUUUCGAUUUGACCCUGGGGUACUUGCCCUAAGAAAAACCCAAAAAAAUUGACACUUUUGUAUAGGAGGUACCUGUAAAUCGACUCCGAUUGGCUUCAAACUUUCUGGGAUUUCAUUUUUUGAAAGAAAAAUAAGAUUGUGAAAGUUUGAAACCAAUCGAAAUCGAUUUACGGGUACCUCCCAUACAAAUUAUUCGAAAUUUUGAUUAAAAUUACCGAUUUUUGGACAAUUUUGUAUGGGAGGUACCCGCUAAUCGAUUCUGAUUGGCUUCAAAUUUUCUGAGGUUUCAUUUUAUUCAGGGGAAGAAAUAAGAUUAUGAAAGUUUUAUGUUGAUCGCAUUUGCAGAAGUUUGAUUUUUUGUCCUCAAUUUUUGUCGAAAUUUUCUUGGAAAAAUUUGAGGGCCAAAAACCAAACUUCUGCAGAUGCGAUCAACAUGAAACUUUCAGAAUCUCAUUUUUUCUCCAAAAAAUAAAACCUUAGAAAGUUUAAAGCCAAUAAGAAUCGGUUAACGGGUACCUCUCAUACAAAAUUGUCGAAGUUUUAGUUAAAGUGACCGAUUUUUCAAUUUAUUUUCUUUAUUUUAUUUUCACUGCCUUUAUUUCAAGAAAAUUCAGAAAAAAUAACCAAAAGUACCAACGGACAAUGCAGGCCAACGGUACGGAAAAGUUCGGGAUUACCAAUGCAAUUCUUUUUAUUGUUGGAAAAGUGAUCAGAUUUCGCGUUCUUUCAGUCAUUCAAAGCACGUUACGCUCGUCGUCAACGUGGUAUGAAAACCACAAGGGGAUGGAGAAGGCAAAACAUUGGCUUUUCAUUCAAUUAGUGUUGAGUUAAAGCGAGAGUCGUCAAUCGAGACUGGAAUGGAAGUGGUGCAUUUUGGGCGAACAGACAAAUGUAUGACCGACACGCAAUAACGGAAGAGAUUCCUUUUAUGUUAGUGUGUUCUAGUCUUGUGCACAAUGGAUGAUAAUGACAAUAACAAAAAAAAAUGACAGUGAUGAGGAUGAAAAUUAUGCUUAUGAUGAGGUAAAUAGGUACUGCAAACAAAAUGGAUAUGCAAUUAUCAAACGUAACAUAUAGAAGAAAUAUGCUUGAUGGGCAGAAAUAUAGACAGCAAAUAGCCACAUUCACCAUUUACAUGUACACGAACGAACACUGAUAGAAACACAUGACAACACACAUUUUCACGAUAAAAACAAAAACAGCAACAACGAUAUAUGUAGAAUAUGGUAUGGUAUGGAAGAAGAAGAAAGCGGCUCAAAAAUGGGGAGGAAGCAAACAACAGGGGAUAGGCUAUUAAUGCAUAUACAAUUCUAAAAUAUCAUACAAUACGUUUUGUGACCACGACAGAGAGCGGUAGAGAGAUAGAAAUAAAAAUGUUUUGUGUCAACUUUGAAAGUUUUUAUGCAGUUUUAGCGCCAUUUUAUGCCCUUACGCAUAUUCAAGCAUACGGCACGAACGAAUGCGGGGGGAAGGGGAUUUUUGAUCGGUAGAGUCCACUCAAAGUGGCUACAAUGAAAUCCGUUCAUUUCCUGUGCGUCUAAAAUUGGGACUGUGACGUGAUUCAUUACGGCCGAAACUUUUCCGUUCCAAUGGACGACAGAAGUCUAAUGGAGCAUUCGUCUAUUACAUCCUGUCGUACAUGUCACAAUUUCAUUAUUGAUGAUAGUCCGCUCCAAAAUCGACAACGAAAUGAACGUAUGUAAAGAAGAUGGCAUAUUCUGACUUAAGUUUAGUUCAUAUGGGCAAUUCAAACAUUUAAAUUGAUAUUGCAUGUUUGUGCAUGAAAUAGAAUCCAAAUUUAUUGCAGGAAUGCAAUCAGAGGGGAUGGUUAUCAUUACAACAAAUGGAAAAUCGAGCGAAAGGAUAGAAAAUAAAACAGAAAAUCAAACUAAAAUAAAUGCCAACAACAAUGGAAAUCAUAGGAUACAAAAUUUAAAAUUGAUUUGUU